rnacentral:rRNA from 1 species
AUUGAACGCUGGCGGCAGGCCUAACACAUGCAAGUCGAGCGGAGGAAGGGAGCUUGCUCCUGGAUUCAGCGGCGGACGGGUGAGUAAUGCCUAGGAAUCUGCCUGGUAGUGGGGGAUAACGUCCGGAAACGGGCGCUAAUACCGCAUACGUCCUGAGGGAGAAAGUGGGGGAUCUUCGGACCUCACGCUAUCAGAUGAGCCUAGGUCGGAUUAGCUAGUUGGUGGGGUAAAGGCCUACCAAGCCGACGAUCCGUAACUGGUCUGAGAGGAUGAUCAGUCACACUGGAACUGAGACACGGUCCAGACUCCUACGGGAGGCAGCAGUGGGGAAUAUUGGACAAUGGGCGAAAGCCUGAUCCAGCCAUGCCGCGUGUGUGAAGAAGGUCUUCGGAUUGUAAAGCACUUUAAGUUGGGAGGAAGGGCAGUAAGUUAAUACCUUGCUGUUUUGACGUUACCAACAGAAUAAGCACCGGCUAACUUCGUG